rnacentral:rRNA from 1 species
GAAUUAUUGGGCGUAAGGGCUCGCAGGCGGUUUCUUAAGUCUGAUGUGAAAGCCCCCGGCUCAACCGGGGAGGGUCAUUGGAAACUGGGGAACUUGAGUGCAGAAGAGGAGAGUGGAAUUCCACGUGUAGCGGUGAAAUGCGUAGAGAUGUGGAGGAACACCAGUGGCGAAGGCGACUCUCUGGUCUGUAACUGACGCUGAGGAGCGAAAGCGUGGGGAGCGAACAGGAUUAGAUACCCUGGUAGUCCACGCCGUAAACGAUGAGUGCUAAGUGUUAGGGGGUUUCCGCCCCUUAGUGCUGCAGCUAACGCAUUAAGCACUCCGCCUGGGGAGUACGGUCGCAAGACUGAAACUCAAAGGAAUUGACGGGGGCCCGCACAAGCGGUGGAGCAUGUGGUUUAAUUCGAAUCAACGCGAAGAACCUUACCAGGUCUUGACGGCCUCUGACAAUCCUAGAGAUAGGACGUCCCCUUCGGGGGCAGAGUGACAGGUGGUGCAUGGUUGUC